UUUUCAAACCCUAAAACUCCAGCCGUACAGAGAUUGAAGAGUAGCAGAUGGAGGUUGGUUCUGGGUGGAGAUGGCAGAGGAAGCGGUAUCUUUUGUGGGUAGUUCCUGAUUGGUGACCCUAAAACCGGUGAUACACUUUAUUUGUAAAGCAAGACCAUGGGUUGGGUGGCAAACACGGUAGCUCGAAGAAGAAGGCCGGGGAGGGUUCGAAAACUAAAAAAGAUGUUAGCUACUACCUUGUGGACUCUCGAACAUGGAAAACAUUCCGACGAAGUUUGUAGACAAGCAAAAACUUGAAAUCGAGAACCAACAACACAACUGAUUUAGGGUUACAAGUCUUCAUUCAAAUAGGAUGGGGUCAUCAGAAACUGCUAUUGCUGUCCACUGGCGCACAUGAAAGAUACUUAUAAGAUACUUACAAAUUGCUGAUGAUGACGAUAAGCUACAUAUACGUUACGUAGCGAUAGUGUUAAAAUAGCGGGCGCUAUUUCAUGUUUAGCGAUACACUAGAAGAAAAUUUUAGAAAUAUUUUACAUGUAUAUUUUACCAACAAAUUAAAAUUUUUUUUACAAAAAUCCGCUAAUUGUCGCUACCAACUAUAUAACGACACGUGAGCGAUUCGCUUCGCUACGCUAUUCGCUAUAGCGGGCACCAUAGUUGUUAACGGUGAAUAGCGACAAAUAACGAUAAGGUACCUAUAUGUUAGAUAGCGAAUAACAAUAAA